GUAUUACGCAGUAUGUAGAUCAAAAUUUAAUGCGAGAGAAUUAUGUAUAUCUGAAGCAUAGUUGAGAAAUUUGCAGAUGUAUAUCAAAUUCUAGAUUCUAGCAGAUAUUAUAGAGGAAGAAAAUACGCAUGAUUUUGCUACGAAAGCAAGUCAAUUGGAUUUCACAUAUUGGCGUGUGGUAUGAAUAUUUAACUUGUAUUCCUGAAAUCGAUUAAGCGAAGCCGAUACCCAGGGAUUUCGUCAAUUAUAAUGACAGACCAAGUGGCUGGAAAUACGCGUGAUGGAAAAUACUCGACAAGCCUAGCCAUGUUCACAGGCCGUGUCCAGAGUGCACAAUAGGCCGAAACGUCGUUCCAGUGAUUAACCGUGCACUAUGUCGCCAACGAAUUUGCGAAUCGAAUUUAUCGUAUUCGAAGAUACAACAAUGAAUCCUAUUUUACCACGACCACUAAUUCCAUCGAUUGCUCCAUUCUCGAUUGUUCGUCGAUCUUCGAUCUGUCUGUCUAUAUAAUGAUAUCUACAUUACAUUAUUACUCGUCGAUAUAGAGAGUACAGGAAGGCAUUGGCCUGAAUGGAGGUAAGUGCAGAUUUGAGGCUAAUCCAGGUGUAGAUUAGACUAAGCUUGAGCCGGUUUUAACUUGGAAGAUGGUGGAUAUGGAUUAACCUAGACCUCCUAGGUUACCUUGGAGAUGAAUAAGCUAUGGUUUGGAUCUGUGUGUUGCCCCGAGUAAUCGUGGUUGUAUUGAAUUCUUGUUCGGUCUACUGUAAACAUAGACAUUGUAAAUAUUAAAAUAAACCUACGUUUACGUUGACUUGAACUACUAAAACUGCAUGCCAAGAUUAGAUCUAAAAAGUUAAUCUAUUUAUUAAGUCUCUGAAAAU